rnacentral:rRNA from 1 species
UACGUAGGUGACCAGCGUUGUCCGGAUUUACUGGGCGUAAAGAGCGCGCAGGCGGUCGUUCAAGUCGAGUGUGAAAGCCCCCGGCUCAACUGGGGAGGGGCACUCGAUACUGAUCGACUCGAAGGCAGGAGAGGGAAGCGGAAUUCCCGGUGUAGUGGUGAAAUGCGUAGAUAUCAAGAGGAACACCUGAGGUGAAGACGGGUUGCUGGGCCAACACUGACGCUGAUGCGCGAAAGCCAGGGGAGCAAACGGG